rnacentral:rRNA from 1 species
UACGUAGGGUGCGAGCGUUAAUCGGAAUUACUGGGCGUAAAGGGUGCGCAGGCGGUUAUAUAAGACAGAUGUGAAAUCCCCGGGCUCAACCUGGGAACUGCGUUUGUGACUGCAUAGCUAGAGUACGGUAGAGGGGGAUGGAAUUCCGCGUGUAGCGGUGAAAUGCGUAGAGAUCGGGAGGAACACCAGUGGCGAAGGCGGCUACCUGGACCAGCACUGACACUGAGGCACGAAAGCGUGGGUAGCAAACAGG